rnacentral:rRNA from 1 species
UACGUAGGCAGCGAGCGUUGUUCGGAGUUACUGGGCGUAAAGGGUGUGUAGGCGGUUGCUUAAGUUUGGUGUGAAAUCUCCCGGCUCAACCGGGAGGGUGCGCCGAAUACUGAGUGACUAGAGUGCGGGAGAGGAAAGUGGAAUUCCUGGUGUAGCGGUGAAAUGCGUAGAUAUCAGGAGGAACACCGGUGGUGUAGACGGCUUUCUGGACCGUAACUGACGCUGAGACACGAAAGCGUGGGUAGCAAACAAG